GGUAUGUGGCUUAGUGGUAGAGCACUUGCCUUGCAUGCAUGUAGCCCUGGGUUCCAUUCCUCAGCACCA
rnacentral:tRNA from 1 species